rnacentral:snRNA from 1 species
GUACUUGCUUGGGCAGCACAUAUACUAAAAUCGGAACGACACAGAGAAGAUUAGCAUGGCCCCUGUGCAAGGAUGACACGUAAAUUCGUGAAGCGUUCCAUUUUUUU